GGAGACCCAGGAGGGCCCGGCCAGGAGACCCGCUCUCUAGAGCGGCGAGGGCAGGGGUUGCUAGGGCGCCGGGGUCGAACCCGCGCUUCCUGCAAGUCUUAGGGCCGCAUCCCUGCCGAGGCGGGCGUUGGGAAGGGUGGGAGAUGGGAAGGUGCGGUGGUGCGGGGAGGGGAGGGCGCCGGGAGGGGUCGGAGAGGGGUCGCGGGUUUUGGGGCUGCGAGGAGGGAAGGAGGGAAGAGGAGGGAAGAGGAGGGCAAGGGGAGGGGAGGGCGGGGAGGAGAGAGGGCGCGGGCAGGGGAGUGGAGGGCGCGGGGAGGGGAGGGCGCGGGGAGGGGAGGGCGGGGAGGAGAGAGGGUGCGGAGAGGAGGGCGGGAAGGAGAGGGGACGGGGGGAGGGAGGGGACGGGGGGAGGGAGGGGAGGGUGGGGGAAGGAGGGGAGGGGAGGGUGGGGGAAGGAGGGAAGGGGAGGGGAGGGGAGGAGAGGGCGGGGAGGGGAGGGGAGGGCGCGGGCUGCGGGGCUGCGGGGAGGGAGGGGCGGGUUCAGGGCUGUGGGCCCCGCCCGGGGCACCGCCUGGAUCAGGCCUGAGGCCGGCUGCAGAGAACUUGGGCACCGCGGACCAGAUUGCUGGUCACCAGGAUGAAAAAUAAAAAAGACCCAAACAGCUCCCCCGACCCCGCCUUCGCGCAGGCCCCUGGCGUUCUGCUCAGGGGUUUUUGUUUAAUGAAGAACGUCAAACAUCUGGCAAGGUCGGAAUGAUUUUGCGAUGAGCACCGCCUGGAUUCUGCGGUGAAAGCGACUGUGUGCGCGCUCACGGCCUCGCCUGUCCCUGCAUCAGCCCAUCUCGUCAGGCAGAUCAACAUGAAGCUGUAAAACGGAUGACUUAGGCCGGGCGUCGUGAUGGGCGCCUGUAAUCCCAGCUACUCGGGAGGCUGAGGCAGGAAAACCGCUUGAACCUGGGAGGCGGAGGUUGCAGUGAACCGCGGUUGCACCACUACACUCCAGCCUGGGAGACAGAGCGAGACUCCGUCUCAAAAUAAAUAAAUAAAACAUAUGACUUAGGUAUAUACGCAUGGGGGGAAUCCUCGUAAGGCAAGAACGUGCUGCACAUUCUGGGGACUGGGACAGGAUAAGCACACGAGUAGAUCUAAGUCACUGGAAAUACCUGGUUUUGCUGUUGGAGGGGGGCUUGCAGGUGCUCGUUAUAUUAUUACGCUGUUGUAGUAAAACGAUGUUAGUUACAGUAUUAAAUUGCAAAUGUCAGUAUCCAUCACCGCCAAAACAGCGUGCAUACCACUAGCAUAUGAUUUUUGUAGUUUUUUAAUGUUAAGUUUGUAAUGAAGUGCACAAACUUAAUUA
rnacentral:lncRNA from 1 species